rnacentral:tRNA from 1 species
GGUUGUGGCUCAGUGGUAGCGUGCUUGCCUAGCAUGUAUGAGGCACUGGGUUCAAUCCUCAGCACCA